rnacentral:lncRNA from 1 species
AAAGACUUAGCCAACCCCGGAGUGGUUAUGAGCAAUGCGUCCCAGGGAGUCCUUCCCAAAUUUGGAGUCCUUGUAUGCUGAGCAUUUCUGUCAUCCAGACUGAGACACUCUGCCUGUCUGCCUUUGUGCCCCACAAGGAUUUUGGAUGCAAUCAAGAAUGGCUGACUUCAGCUUCAUGUUGGAAGUGCGUACUUGAAGACUGAGGAAGAAGUUUGGAAGCAUGAAUGAAGGACAUUGAGAGAGUGAGUCUCCUCCAGUGAAUCUUGAGCAGCCUUGGACACAGAGAG